AGAUUCCCGUACGUGGUCGCUGGCCUUCCGCCGUGUAAAGCCCCUUCGACGAGUCGAGUUGUUUGGAAUGCAGCUCUAAAUGGGAGGUAAAUUUCUUCUAAAGCUAAAUACUGGCCAGAGACCGAUAGCGCACAAGUAGAGUGAUCGAAAGAUGAAAAGCACUUUGGAAAGAGAGUCAAAUAGCACGUGAAAUUGUUGAAAGGGAAGCGCUUGCAGCCAGACUUGCCUGUAGUUGCUCAUCCGGGCUUUUGCCCGGUGCACUCUUCUGCGGGCAGGCCAGCAUCAGUCUGGGCGGUCGGAUAAAGGCCUCUGUCAUGUACCUCCCUUCGGGGUGGCCUUAUAGGGGAGGCGUAAUGCGACCAGCCUGGACUGAGGUCCGCGCAUCUGCUAGGAUGCUGGCGUAAUGGCUGUAAGCGGCCCGUCUUGAAACACGGACCAAGGAGUCUAACAUCUAUGCGAGUGUUUGGGUGUCAAGCCCGAGCGCGUAAUGAAAGUGAACGGAGGUGGGAUCCCUUUAGGGUGCACCAUCGACCGAUCCUGAUGUCUUCGGAUGGAUUUGAGUAAGAGCAUGGCUGUUGGGACCCGAAAGAUGGUGAACUAUGCUUGAAUAGGGUGAAGCCAGAGGAAACUCUGGUGGAGGCUCGCAGCGGUUCUGACGUGCAAAUCGAUCGUCAAAUUUGGGCAUAGGGGCGAAAGACUAAU
rnacentral:misc_RNA from 1 species